rnacentral:rRNA from 1 species
GAUGAACGCUGGCGGCGUGCCUAAUACAUGCAAGUCGAGCGAACAGACGAGGAGCUUGCUCCUCUGACGUUAGCGGCGGACGGGUGAGUAACACGUGGAUAACCUACCUAUAAGACUGGGAUAACUUCGGGAAACCGGAGCUAAUACCGGAUAAUAUAUUGAACCGCAUGGUUCAAUAGUGAAAGACGGUUUUGCUGUCACUUAUAGAUGGAUCCGCGCCGCAUUAGCUAGUUGGUAAGGUAACGGCUUACCAAGGCAACGAUGCGUAGCCGACCUGAGAGGGGGAUCGGCCACACUGGAACUGAGACACGGUCCAGACUCCUACGGGAGGCAGCAGUAGGGAAUCUUCCGCAAUGGGCGAAAGCCUGACGGAGCAACGCCGGGGGAGUGAGGAAGGUUUUCGGAUCGUAAAACUCUGUUAUUGGGGAAAAACAAAUGGGUAAGUAACUAUGCACGUCUUGACGGUACCUAAACAGAAAGCCACGGCUAACUACGU